CCUACGGGAGGCAGCAGUGGGGAAUAUUGCACAAUGGGGGAAACCCUGACGCAGCAGCGCCGCGUGAGUGAAGAAGUUUUUCGGUAUGUAAAGCUCUAUCAGCAGGGAAGAGAAUGCCCGUACCUGACCAAGAAGCACUGGCCAACUACGUGCCAGCAGCCGCCGUCAUACGGCGGGGGCGCGCGUUAACCGGAUUUACUGGGUGUAAAGGGAGCGUAGACGGUUCUGCAAGUCUGGAGUGAAAGCCCGUGGCUUAACCGCGGAACGGCUUUGGAAACUGUGGAACUGGAGUGCCUGAGAGGCAAGCGGAAUUCCUAGUGUAGGGGUGAAAUGCGUAGAUAUUAGGAGGAACACCAGUGGCGAAGGCGACUUUCUGGACAGUAACUGACGUUGAGGCGCGAAAGCGUGGGUAGCAAACAGGAUUAGAUACCCGUGUAGUC
rnacentral:rRNA from 1 species